rnacentral:tRNA from 1 species
UCCCUGGUGGCUCGUAUGGUAAAGCGUCUGCCUGCAAUGCAGGAGACCCGGGUUUGAUCCUUGGGCUGGGAA